AAUGGGACCUUGGGAGGGGGGUAUAAAGGAAGGUGUAAUUUCCUUAAUAAACAACUAUGCAGCACGCUCUGUUACUCACUGACUCCCUGUGUCUGAGUACUGAGGCAUUGGUGCUGCAUCUUCUCACCCACUCCCCCAAGGGGUGUCUGAGCAGGAUCACCGGCAACACUGACACAACAUAAUAAGUCAAGGACCCUCCAAAGUUCCUGCCUCUGGGUUCCUGCUUUGAGUUUCUGCCCUGACCUCCCUCAAUAAUGAACUCUAAUAAGGAAAAGAGAAUAAACCCUUUACUCCUCAAGUUUUCAUGGUAACAAUCAAACUAGGAAGCAGAAUCUCCCAGUGAACAUAAGCCAAGUGCUAAGUGGGAAGCUCACAUUGAAAAAUAUGUGCUGUCCUUGUUGGAUUUGGUGGCAUAAACCUGCAGUAUCUGCUACUUGAACUGCUGCUCCUGAUGAGGCAUUAGGAUUGCAACUUCAAAAAGAAUUCAAGGCCAUUUGAAAAGACAUAUCCAGUCCAUGGAUCCAAGACUUAAGAGGACAAACAUCAUCACAAAACUGAGAGUUCAGAUCCCCAAGGAAAGCCAAGGAGUAACAAAAAUGGAAAAAUGGAAAAUUUCAGUGUACAUGAUGAUUUGCAAGCAUCUGGCACAACAAGAACAUAGAAAAUCUGAAACAUGUUCAUGAUUCCUGUCUUCCCAGAAAAGAACAGAAUGUGGCAUCACACUGCUGAGGAGAAUAGUAAGACUGGACUAAAUAGUAAGACUGGACUGAAGCUCAUACAAGGACAUCCUGUGCUUUUAGCAUUGUAUUUGUUAUCUAAGGUGUGUUUUGGUUGCUCUGCAUUCCAGUUGUAGAAAACACUGCUAAAAAGGGAUAGAAACAAUAAUUAACAGAUAUAAUUUACAAUAAAAUACAAUACAAUUCUGAUGCAGUGGCUAAAGGGAAAUAAAGAGGCCAAUAGUAUAAAACCUGCUGAAUCCAUUUACUGUUGCUUAUGUGUAUAUAUUUCAGAGCUGACCGCUAGGUAUUGAAUAACCAACUAGGGAGAUCAUCCCCAGGGAAGACUAAUUCUCCCUCUCUUAGCCUUCAUAUAGUUGCCUGUAGCUCUUUAUCUAGGUGCGAAUCCCCAUGAAAUUUCCUCUUCCACCUUAGUAGGUCUAAAGGGGCUGUCAUUGUUCAGGUCUUCUUUUAGGCAGCCAUACUAUUGAGGUAUCAUGGUUGUAGCUUUCCUAUUGUUUCUAGGAGACACAAUCUCAUGAAAGACUUCAUGGUCCUCUCAUUCUUACAGUCUUUUCAUCUUCUCUCUAUUGAUAUUCCCUGAGCCUUAGGGGCAAGGAUUGUGUUGCAGAUGUAUUUCCUGGAGCUGGGUAUAGCAAAAUUGGUUGAUCCCCGAAUUUUGAUGAGUUGCAGUUUUCCGUGAAACUCUCAGUGUGUUGCAAAAAUGAAACCACUUUGAUGAGGGGUGAAAGCUACACUUACCUGUGUGUAUAAGGGCAAGUGCUAGAUUACAAGUUAAGGAAAUAUGCUGGCUGAGUAAAGUGGUAAUCUAGAGGUAGAUCUCCUCUAAGAUAUGCAACAUUAUUAGCCUUGUGUUCUUGACUAGAUUUCUAAUACUGGACACAAUUUCUUUCUUGUUGAGCUGGCCUCAAAUCCAAUUAGACGGCUAUUUAUUCUUGCCAAGUUAUGAAUACCACCAUUGGACCUUUAGAGAUAUCUUUCCUUGGCCGUCAUUGUUGUAGAUUCUAGGCAACAAGACUGGGUAGGACUGUUGAUCUCUUCCUCUCUCGGCAUCUUGCAUAGCAAUUUCUGGUACUAUAAAAACUAGACACCAGGGAGGAAGCUUCCAGAUCAGAUCCAGCACACAUUUGAGUCAUGUGUCUGGUGAUGUCAUCAGUAGUACUUACCUUCAACUUCUGGGAGACAACCAAGAGCAAGAGCAAUAGCCUAUGUUGCUUUCAGUGUCUCUUGGACAUCCAGUCACUGAAAAGGUUUCUCAUGUCUGAUACUAGUUUUUUGUUCCUCAUAUGUAACUUCAUAUAUGUAGUCCUUCUGCAUCCUAUUUCUCUGUAGCUCAAGUCAGUGUGUGUGUGUGUGUGUGGUGUGCAUGUGUAAUUUUACGUAAAAUUAAAUAAUAUUCCUUAAGGCAUCUUUGUCAUUGAUUGUCUCAUCCUCUCCCUCUGUAUUGACCUCCCUUCCCCUUUCCAUUUUUUCCAUUCUUCCCAUUCAUAUCACCUGUAUCUUGUUAUUCUCCUUUCUUGGCCCCCUCAUGGUCAAAGAAUGAAUUUAAUUAAUGAAGAAUAAGUAUAAGGAGGACCAAGCAGGCAGAGAUGGAGACACACACACCUGGCCAGAGCCAUUUGCCCUGGGCAGGGAAGAGAAACCACAGCACACCUGAGGCCACCUAGGUAGUCAAGUGCCAUUAUAGUGACCAAAUAUAUUGUGGGGUAUGGGAGAGAAGGGAAGAGGCAGAAUGGUUCAUUUCCUAUGGAGAGAGACAAAUCUG